UACGUAGGGUGCGAGCGUUGUCCGGAAUUAUUGGGCGUAAAGAGCUCGUAGGCGGUCUGUCGCGUCGGUCGUGAAAACUUGGGGCUUAACCCUGAGCUUGCGGUCGAUACGGGCAUGACUGGAGUUCGGCAGGGGAGACUGGAAUUCCUGGUGUAGCGGUGAAAUGCGCAGAUAUCAGGAGGAACACCGGUGGCGAAGGCGGGUCUCUGGGCCGAUACUGACGCUGAGGCGCGAAAGCUAGGGGAGCGAACAGG
rnacentral:rRNA from 1 species